rnacentral:lncRNA from 1 species
UGGCUAAGUUAUGCUAAUCAGAUUAAUUAUCUUUGUCACUAUUCAUACUUUAUCUAUAUCUUUUAUGUGACAUUUAUCCCUGUAUGAAAGAGAUAGAUAAAUGCUCUCAAUUAUACAUGCAACGAUAGAUACUCAAUCCUAUAUUCCAUUCCAUAAUCAACAUUGAUGUUUAGCAAUCCCUUCCCAGUGGUAAAAAUAUAAAUAACGAUACCUGGAAUACUUCCCAGUUAAAAUGCUACAUCGGUAUUAAUCUGUGCGCU